rnacentral:rRNA from 1 species
GAUGAACGCUAGCUACAGGCUUAACACAUGCAAGUCGAGGGGCAGCAUGAGGUCAGCUUGCUGACUUUGAUGGCGACCGGCGCACGGGUGAGUAACGCGUAUCCAACCUGCCCAUAACUAAGGGAUAAUCCGUAGAAAUGCGGUCUAAUACCUUAUGUUGUCCGAGGAAGACAUCUGAUUCGGACGAAAGAUUUAUCGGUUAUGGAUGGGGAUGCGUCUGAUUAGCUUGUUGGCGGGGUAACGGCCCACCAAGGCGACGAUCAGUAGGGGUUCUGAGAGGAAGGUCCCCCACAUUGGAACUGAGACACGGUCCAAACUCCUACGGGAGGCAGCAGUGAGGAAUAUUGGUCAAUGGACGAGAGUCUGAACCAGCCAAGUAGCGUGCAGGAUGACGGCCCUAUGGGUUGUAAACUGCUUUUAUACGGGGAUAAAGAUGUCACGUGUGACAUUUUGCAGGUACCGUAUGAAUAAGGACCGGCUAAUUCCGUG